CAGCCCAGAGCCUGACGCGGGGCUCGAACUCACGGACCGCGAGAUUGUGACCUGGCUGAAGUCGGACGCUCAACCGACUGCGCCACCCAGGCGCCCCGAAAAAAGUGUAUUUUUAAAAGGGUCGAAGUGAACAGAAAUAAGUAGAUCAGCAUUUAAAACUAGCAGAGUGCAGGAAAAAGUAGUAACUCGAGAGCCAUCUAGGCAGGAACCCCUUAGGAAGGUCAGAAUUCAUAAAAAUCUGUAUGUGGGGUCGUAGGUAAAAAGCAUUGUCUUGUACACCAGGUAGGUAACCCAGGAGGGCUCUGAGCUUGACAUCUAACCAGGAAGACUAAGAGUGAGUGUUCAGGGGCCCCUGGCUGGCCUAGCCCAUAGAGCAUGCCGUACUUGAUCUUGGGGUUGUGAAUCUGGGCCCCACGUUGGGUGUAGAGAUUACUUAAAAAUGAAAAUGGAAGUGCUCAGAAGGGAAAUCAUAUUCAACUGGCCCCUGAGUUGCCCUCUGGUAGGUGAAUGUGUGUCCCGGAUGAACACCAAGAGUUCCCAGAAUUAAAACUACCGGCAAAGAGUGCACGGGUUUCGUGGCUUGCUGCAGAAAAGAGCUGCCUUCUUGGACGCGUAGUAUAGUAGGCUAGAGUGGGUGCAAGCAGCUAGGACUUCUGUGUGUUCUUAAAAGCAUUUCUACGGUCUUAAGCAUGGAUGACUGUUGUGUUUUGUUACACUUUAUACUCCCCCAAACCUAACAUGGGAAAGACGGCAUAGUGGAAACGGUGUCUUAAAAGGAGAGCCACCAAUGGGGCGCCUGGGUGGCUUGUAGGUUAAGUGUCCAACUUCAGCUCGGGUCAUGAUCUCACGGUUUGUGAGUUCGAGCCCCGCGUCGGGCUCUCUGCUGACAGCUCAGAGCCUGGAGUCUGGAGCCUGCUUCAGAUUCUGUGUGUGUGUGUCUCUCUUCUCCCCUCCUCACGCUCUAUGUCUCUCAAAAAUAAAUAAAUGUUAAAAGAAAAGGAAAAGAAAAGAGAACCACCAACAGACUGAUGGGCUUGCCUUUUAAAAUUCUGCAACCGUGGAUAAACCAUCGAAUCAUGCUGUGACUCGUCUGUAUGAUAAAGUAACCAUGUCUGCCGAAUCAAGACGUCACAGCAUUGGGCUGUGGAGAAAGUGGGAAAAUAAACAUAAAGGUGCUAACAGAAGUGCCACGGGGGGUGCACAAUCACGUAUCGGUUGGACUCCUUGGGGAACACCCAACAGAAGUCAAGUUCCACUCAGCUAGAAAGGAGCUCAAUUUCAGGUCGUCCACAGAACCAAAGCCAGGAGGAAAAGGAUGCAUGUUAAAGGGGUGGUUUGCCCCUUUUUUUCGAUAUUCCCACCCAAAUUCUGGUAAGGGAGCUUUCCCUCUCGUACCACUACCACCCUUUCUGAAUGUCAACAGCCCUGUCUUUGGUUCCAGGGAUCUUAGCCAUGUUCUCAGCCAUUGAAAAUCGGGUUGUGGACACAGGGCCGUUUGAAUGGAACUGAGCGAAUUCUUGGGCCAUGGGUAUGCAUCGUGUCUUUGGAUGAUCCAUAGGUGACUGGGGCGGGGGCUGGGGGAGGGGCAGUUCCUGGAGGUCAGGGAAGACCAGUUCACGUGACUCUGCAGCAGAGGCCCUGAGUCCUGGAAGACAGGAAGUGGCCCGCACGCAAUCUCAGACACUCACUGGGCAGGCGCGCUGCUCUGUGCUGCCGUUUCUGCUCUCCACGUGUUGUUCAGAGCUACUCCCUCGCCUCCAGCCUCACAGGGACCCCCUCCGAGGCUGAGUCUUCCCCAGCUCUUGACCCCUUUCCUAGCCCAGAUGACCUCCUGCUGCUGCAGCAUAGCAGAUUUGUCAAGUAAAAAGCCAAAAUCGACUGGUUUUCUUGGCAUUUCUGCUUUUACAGGCAUAAUUCUCGAGACAACAAGAAUGACCCUGACUAUAACGGCCAGGAGCAAGCCUGUGCAGACGAGAAAAGCACACACAAAUUUUUUUCUCUCUACAGGCUAAAAAAUCCAGAGAGUUCUCAGACAACCUUCAGUGAAUUCUUCCCCGUUCCAUAGCCCAAGGGCUCUAUCUGCACGUCUUCUGGAGACACAGCGAGAUUACGUUCCCCACUGGCUCAGGCCGUCGGGAACUGCCAUCACAGUCUCCUGUGUCAGACUUCACCCUACCUGCUGAUCCGCCACAUUCGAAGUCCUCUGGAGAGAAUUCUAUCACCUGGGGGUCAGUGGAGCCACAAAAUGGAGGACUUGAUGCCUGAGUCAUCAUGUGGAAGGCUGCCUGCCAAAUACCACAGUGAACUCCAGGAUAAGUAAAAUUUCUAGUAUGUGAAGCCACUGAAAUUUUGGGGUUUUUAUUGGUAAACGCUGCCAUACCUAGACUGUACACACAGGGCUAUGUUACAGUUACAUAUAACACCAAAAUCUCAUUAUCUUACAACAAAAACGCAUUUCUUGCUUUCGAUACACCAUCAAGAACACUAUACUCAGUGAACAGCUAUCUACUCAGGGAGCGAGGCUGAUAAAAUUCCCUCCUGACUUCUGUUUCCCAGAUCACCACGGGACUGGGAAAGAACGUGGUAAAUGAUACAUCAGCUUUGAAGGUUUGUGUGCAUACGUGACACGUCACUUCUGCUUACGUUUCAAAGAAACGGUCAUGCUUAUCUUUAAAAAGAGCAAAGAACCGCAAUCCUACUUUGUGCCACAAAAGGGAAAAUCCAGACACAUUGGCGAGUGAGAGCAAGGACUACCGUGUGAAUCGACGUUGGUGCCUGGAAGAAUGGCACUGCCAUACAGACACUUAAAAUACGUCGUACAGAACAAGUCAUUGGGCAGCAGGCUGGUCAGUGGGACAGCCCUUCUGUACCCUGGUAACAUAUUUAGUAAAUCCGUCCCCAGUGGGACGUAGAAGGUAGACCAGGAGCCCAGUGAGACUCUAACUCAAUGGGAAGUAGAUGGAGGCAGUGACGUGUGUUAGAUACUGUUAUCUGCCUUUAGCAAGAUACCGUAAGUGACAGCUCAGAGGAGAACUGCUUGGUUUUCUAGAAGACAUAGAAAGGUAUUAAGGAAUUCUGCUGAUCCAGGUCCUUUUAGGGUUAGAAAAGCGGACUGUCCCUAGACCCUCAGUAACAAGACUGGAAAGUGUUAAGUGACAAAGUUACUAAAAGAUCUCUGAUUUAAAAAAAGAAAUGACACAAUUUUUCCGCAAAGAUGAGAUUAAGGGUUCUAAGCUUAGUGUUUCAGAGAGCAGUCAGAUAGUCCUUAGUAGAGAGAGAGGGGCACACACGUGAGGAGGCAAAAAGAUACAUCAUCCUUGAGAGUUUUAUACAGGAAGGAACUCGAGUGCGGAAUUUACAAUACGGGAACCAGAAGCACAUAUAGCAAAAAGGUCACCUUUUAAAGGUAAUUGUUAUUGUUAAGGAAACCAUGGGCAUGGAUAAAAAGAAGACUUUGAUCCUUAAAACAAGCAAUCUCUCCGAGUGUCCCUGCAGGAAGCCCAGAUAACUUAUCUUUCUGGUUUACAGGUUGCCGCUGGACCAUAAGGAGCCAUGUUUCAACCGGAUACAAAAGACCGUGUAUCGCGUGGAGAUCUUAGAUCCUUUUCUCUAGUCAGGGCCUGCCCCAGAUGUGUUUCCAUUGACUCUUAGCCCCAUUCCAGGCAAGAUCAUUCAACACACAACAAGAAUGACUUUCCCUCGUUUCAGGGAGGAAGUUUCUUACUGGUGUAAAAUCGCAAAUUCCUUAUUUUUUAGAUGUCUUUAGGGACUAUGGGUGCCAAGGUAAUACUUGCAAAAUGGGACUUGCUACUUGCUCUCUUAUCCUUUAAAUGUGUCUGGAGCUACCCUGCUGAGUAAAAGGAUGCUGCUAAUUUUGUGAUGUUCUAUUCUCAUAGCAACCGGCGGUGACGUCAGAGGGCUAUUUUAUCACAGAAGCUAUCCAAAAAAAGAAGGAGACAGUCCUGGCUUCCUUGCGCUUUAUGCAACAAUCAUUUCACAUCGAUAAAAAUGGAAACAGGAAAUAAAAGACUCUAAUAGCUUA